rnacentral:snRNA from 1 species
AUGCUCGCUUCAGCACAUAUACUAAAAUUGGAACAAUGCAGAGAAGAUUAGCACGAUCCCUGCACAAGGAUGACAGGCAAAUCCGUGAAGUGUUCCAUAUUUUC